GGGGGUAGGGUAUAGCUCAGUGGUAGAGCGCAUGCUCAGCAUACAUGAGGUCCUGAGUUCAAUCCCCAGUACCCCCU
rnacentral:tRNA from 1 species